rnacentral:lncRNA from 1 species
GGCUUUGUUCUAAAAACUUCUUUCAUCAUCUAAGAAAACUCCAGAGCUUUACACUCUUCCUUUACCUCUCUGCAUUCUCUUAUUCUUUCUAAUCACUGAUCCAGUAAACUUCAAAUAUUAGGCAGUGCCAGUGAUCACAACGCGCAGAGGACUCCUCCUUCGACCGAUCAUUUUCCCCAAUCUGAACGGUAAGUAGUUUUCUCCUUUCUCCCGCAAACCCUUGAGCUUUGGGCAUGCAAUUGAGUUGCUGCAUGUCCCUUGUGACUUUCAUUUUAAAUUCUUAGCUGAAAUUUAGGUUCUAAGAAGUGUCUUUUAUCUUCAAUGGAUGAACUAUAGGUGUAUCUAAGAUUUCUUGCGGUGAAGAGGCUGGUUGGAGCAUCCUGUGAAUUUAACUGUUUGCACCAGAGGUAAGGGAAGUUGGAUAUUUCUUUUCUGUUUUGUGAAUUAGGAGAUGCAUGAGAUGGAGUAUUAUUUGAAGUGAUGAAAUAACACAUGUAUGCAUUGACUGGUAUAUUGGUACUGUUUGUAUUGGAAAUGAGAAACUGUGUAUGUGAACUGAAAUGCUCUAUACCUUUAAAUUAUGGAAGCUGUUGAAUGAUGCUUAUGAACUGUUAGGGAUAAGAUUUGAUGCUGAUACUGAAUGGUUAUGUCGGAUGCUGUUUUGUGAGAUUUGGUCGCCUUGCGUGUGAAUUCUAAUUUCAAAUUUCUGUUUAAUUAUGCAGCUGUGGAAUUAUAUGUUCAUGAAUUGAUGUGUAUUGAGAUUUAAUGUUGAUGUUGAGUGAUUGAAUCGGGGAAAAUGGUAGUUAAUAGAUUAUUGAAUCAUCUGUUAGGAGAAAUGAGGAGAUUAAGUCAUAUUAAAAGAACUGAAGUGGUCAAAUUGAGAAAUUGGUGUUUCAGGUUCUUAGGGUUAGUUUAGGGAACUUAGAUAAGCCAAAUAGGACUGGAUAGAAGUGUCUAAAUGGUCAAAAAUAGUAUCGAAGUAAUAAAUCCAAAGUUGAGUCCUUGAGUUGAUGGAAGUUGAGUUUUAUAAUACAAUUUGAUGCACAAUUACUAGAUAAUUAGGUUAGGAAGUGUUCAAACCAAUUAAGCAAGUUAAAUUCAUCAUAUAGAUCAAGUUGGAAGUGUUAGAAACUCAUCAAAGUGUCUCAGAUACACUAAAAUGAGGUUGUUGUCAAAAACUGAUAAGAAUAAUCGAUUAUCUCACUUGAUAAUCGAUUAUUCUAGUCAGAACAUCAUAUUUUCUUCAAAGUUCACUUAAAUAAUCGAUUAUCAUAUGUAAUAAUCGAUUAUUGUUGUCAGGAAAUCAUCCAGGAUAGUUUUGAGUGGUUUUUGGGGUUCCGGGUAUCAUUUUUAGACAUUCCUUAGGUCGUUCUGGGGGUUUUUGACCCUUCCGGAACUGUUGGUGAUGGUUUCAAAUCCAUUUUCUUUGUCUAAGUAUGAGUUCACUAGGUUUUGUAUUGUUUAAUUGUCCUUUUAGAACUAUUAUUGUCUGGUAGUGUACAUGGAAUGGUUUCAUACAAUUUUUGAGGACUUGUUGGGUGGUUGUGGUAUUUUGAAGUGUAAUUAAUAUUAUAAAUAUAUUUUGUAUGCAAUGUAAAAUUGAAAAGUAUGGUUAUUGGACGUAAUUCUAUGAUCCUCAAAGGAGGUUACAUGGUGGUGCCCUGUAGUUGUUGUGAUUGACUGUAUGAAUGGCCGAAGUUCAGGAUGGGGUUUAUCCUGACAUUCUAAUGACCAUCCAUGCUCAAUUAGAGAGUGAUGAGUCAUGUGGUGAGAAUAGCAAGAGGUCAUAGUAAUAGGUGCUACGUGGAGGCCUAUUAUUCGGUAAAGGGCUUACACUUGUGUGUGGUCGGGUGAAAUCCCUCGGCAAUGGCUUUGCAAAGCAGUAGGGCCACAACAAGUGCACAAACCCCUGGAACUCGACAUUUCAUACUAGUCCGGAUGGUCAAAUCACGUGGUCGGUCAUUGGUAUCAAUAAAAUGCAUUUGGUCAUAGUUUGUAUUGUUUAUGGUCCUUGCAUGUUUGAAAUACUUGAUUAAUAACAUGUUUUUUUAUACCUAGCUUAUCCUUGCAUUUGUUUGUUGUAUGUGCUUGUCUUCCCCCUUGCGAUAAUCAUCCAUCCUUUGGACGAUGAUUUGGAGCGAGCAUUGGAGGAUCAUGAAAACUUAGCCCCUAGCUCUUAGGACCUUUCAGACACGUCUGUAUUCUUAAAUACUCUUAAACUUGUAAAAAUUUGAAAUUUUGCCUAUAUUUGGAUGACUGUAUAUUUGAUACUGUCAUAUGUUAAUUCCUAACUGCUCUCUUUCAUAUUAUAUGUGCUGAAUUCCAUAUAUAUACUUUGCUAUAUAUUUUGGGAUGUCACAAUUAACAACAUUUAUGUUUAAUAAUAAAUCAUAAUAAUCUUAAACCAAAAGUAAUUAAUAUUAUAUAAAAUAAAUCUGAACAUUAAAAAUAUAAAUAGUUUGUGAAACUUAAUAUUUCUUCACAGUUCUGAAUAACAAGCUUUAAAACAUGCUACAAUUUCAUUUCAUUUCUACAUUUCAUUUCAUGUCUCAGCUGCAACUAUUUCAUCGUUGGUUUUCACUUGUAUCACACUCUUCUCAUGGUCACCUUUAAGGUAGCUUAAAUUUCCCUUCUCCUUGAUCAGUUGCAUGUGGUGGUGCUUGCAGUAGAGUUUCCCAUCGUGUGCAAUGUAAUUGGAGGGACUAAUAACACACCCGAGCGCCAUUUGAAACAACUCUUGUGAUAAGGAGUUCCAAUCACUGUCACCUACACCAUUUUAAAAUAUAUCUAAACUUAGUUAUUUUUGUAACGGGAGGAUUCUUGUUUCAAUAAGCACUUAGUUAUUAUUGUAAAAUUAUUUUUUCUUGUGGAAACUAGUUCAAGAUGCAUAUGGGUAUGUAUGUUAUAUAGAUUAUAUGAAAGAGUUAAUAUACUCACUAUUUAGGUGAAUUUAUAAUAUCCUUUUAAUAUUUAUUUAUGGUAGGUAUUUGAAUUUUAAAAAUGCACAACUAAAUUUUAUAAUUGUUUUUUCUUCUAAAUCCGUGGUUCAUUAUGUCAUGAUCCCAAGUGGCCAUGUUUUGGGUGAUACUUUCCCUAAUAAGUUUGAAUCGCGGUUUUACAAAAUCAAGCUAUUUAACGAGGAAGAAAUAAGAAAGGGGAAUUGUAAUUAAUUAACUGUUGCUUUAUAGAAUAUUUAAUUGCAUUUUUUACUGUACAAAACAGGUUCAUUAAUGCAAUUAAAUAUAUAUAAUUACUAAAUUCUUUUUAUUUUUUGCAUGCUCAC